rnacentral:rRNA from 1 species
GACGAACGCUGGCGGCGCGCUUCACACAUGCAAGUCGAACGUGAAGCCCGGGCUUGCCCGGGUGGAAAGUGGCGAACGGGUGAGUAACACGUGAGCAACCUGCCCCGAAGACCGGGAUAACACCGGGAAACCGGUGCUAAUACCGGAUGCCCUCGCCGGACCGCAUGAUCCGGCGAGGAAAGCUCCGGCGCUUCGGGAUGGGCUCGCGGCCUAUCAGCUUGUUGGUGGGGUCAAGGCCCACCAAGGCGACGACGGGUAGCUGGUCUGAGAGGAUGUCCAGCCACACUGGGACUGAGACACGGCCCAGACUCCUACGGGAGGCAGCAGUGGGGAAUCUUGCGCAAUGGGCGAAAGCCUGACGCAGCGACGCCGCGUGAAGGAUGAAGUAUUUCGGUAUGUAAACUUCGAAAGAAUGGGAAGAAUAAAUGACGGUACCAUUUAUAAGGUCCGGCUAACUACGUGCCAGCCGCCGCCGUAAUAC